AUGACUAAACAUACAAAGAAGGUCGAGAUUAUUGGGAAAUAUGAGGCCUAACUAACUUCUCCCUGGAAAAUAGUGAAGAUCAUUGAUCAUGCCAAGUAGAGUUUCUCUUGCUUCAGCAAGACCAAGAUGAAGAGACAAGCCUUUGGCAUCUAGCACUGUGGUUCUUACAUGAAAACUGUCGCUAGCCUGGACUGGGCCUACCAUAGCACUUUGGACAGCACAGCCAAGUCUGUAAGAAGAUGGGAAGAAUUUCAAGUGUG
rnacentral:lncRNA from 1 species